GACGAACGCUGGCGGCGUGCUUAACACAUGCAAGUCGAACGGAAAGGCCCUGCUUUUGUGGGGUGCUCGAGUGGCGAACGGGUGAGUAACACGUGAGUAACCUGCCCUUGACUUUGGGAUAACUUCAGGAAACUGGGGCUAAUACCGGAUAGGAGCUCCUGUUGCAUGGUAGGGGUUGGAAAGUUUCGGCGGUAGGGGAUGGACUCGCGGCUUAUCAGCUUGUUGGUGGGGUAGUGGCUGACCAAGGCUUUGACGGGUAGCCGGCCUGGGAGGGUGACCGGCCACAUUGGGACUGAGAUACGGCCCAGACUCCUACGGGAGGCAGCAGUGGGGAAUAUUGCACAAUGGGCGGAAGCCUGAUGCAGCAACGCCGCGUGCGGGAUGACGGCCUUCGGGUUGUAAACCGCUUUCGCCUGUGACGAAGCGUGAGUGACGGUAAUGGGUAAAGAAGCACCGGCUAACUACGUG
rnacentral:rRNA from 1 species